rnacentral:rRNA from 1 species
UACGAAGGGGGCUAGCGUUGCUCGGAAUCACUGGGCGUAAAGCGCACGUAGGCGGCUUCUUAAGUCGGUGGUGAAAUCCUGGAGCUCAACUCCAGAACUGCCUCCGAUACUGAGAAGCUUGAGUCCGGGAGAGGUGAGUGGAACUGCGAGUGUAGAGGUGAAAUUCGUAGAUAUUCGCAAGAACACCAGUGGCGAAGGCGGCUCACUGGCCCGGUACUGACGCUGAGGUGCGAAAGCGUGGGGAGCAAACAGG